UGUUAUUGGAUGAAUGCCUUCAUAGUGUUCU
rnacentral:piRNA from 1 species